ensembl:miRNA Mir5122 microRNA 5122
GUCCGCUACCGCGGGACCCGGGGCUGUGUCAGGUCUGGAAGUGGAGCUGGAGCUGACCGAAGGAGCUGCCGCUGGGCCGGGGUGGAACA